GUGAGGAAUAUUGGUCAAUGGGCGGGAGCCUGAACCAGCCAAGUCGCGUGAAGGAAGAAGGAUCUAUGGUUCGUAAACUUCUUUUGCAGGGGAAUAAAGUGCAGGACGUGUCCUGUUUUGUAUGUACCCUGAGAAUAAGGAUCGGCUAACUCCGUGCCAGCAGCCGCGGUAAUACGGAGGAUCCGAGCGUUAUCCGGAUUUAUUGGGUUUAAAGGGUGCGUAGGUGGGUUGAUAAGUCAGCGGUGAAAGUUUGCAGCUUAACUGUAAAAAUGCCGUUGAAACUGUCGGACUUGAGUGUAAAUGAGGUAGUCGGAAUGCGUGGUGUAGCGGUGAAAUGCAUAGAUAUCACGCAGAACUCCGAUUGCGAAGGCAGCUUACUAAGCUACAACUGACACUGAAGCACGAAAGCGUGGGGAUCAAACAGGAUUAGAAACCCCGGUAGUCC
rnacentral:rRNA from 1 species